UACGUAGGUGGCAAGCGUUGUCCGGAUUUACUGGGCGUAAAGAGCGCGCAGGCGGUCGUUCAAGUCGCGUGUGAAAGCCCCCGGCUCAACUGGGGAGGGUCACGCGAUACUGAUCGACUCGAAGGCAGGAGAGGGUAGUGGAAUUCCCGGUGUAGUGGUGAAAUGCGUAGAUAUCGGGAGGAACACCAGUGGCGAAGGCGACUACCUGGCCGGUUCUUGACGCUGAGGCGCGAAAGCGAGGGGAGCAAACGGG
rnacentral:rRNA from 1 species